GUCUAUGGCCAUGCCACCCCGAACAAGCCUGAUGUCUGAUCUCAGAAACUAAGCAGGGUCGAGCCUGGUUAGUACUUGGAUCGGAGACCACCUAGGAAGACUAGGUACUGUAGGCA
rnacentral:rRNA from 1 species